rnacentral:rRNA from 1 species
AACUUUCAACAACGGAUCUCUUGGUUCUCGCAUCGAUGAAGAAGCAGC